rnacentral:piRNA from 1 species
UCAUAAACCGUGUGCUAUGAAAGAAGCCA